UACGUAGGGGGCAAGCGUUGUCCGGAAUUAUUGGGCGUAAAGAGCUCGUAGGCGGACUGUCACGUCUGCUGUGAAAACCUAGGGCUUAACCCUGGGCUUGCAGUAGAUACGGGCAGACUAGAGGUAGGUAGGGGAGAAUGGAAUUCCCGGUGUAGCGGUGAAAUGCGCAGAUAUCGGGAGGAACACCGGUGGCGAAGGCGGUUCUCUGGGCCUUACCUGACGCUGAGGAGCGAAAGCGUGGGGAGCAAACAGG
rnacentral:rRNA from 1 species